rnacentral:lncRNA from 10 species
CCGGGCCACCCUGCUCGGCGCUGACCAGUCCUUACCAAGGGUGGGAGGCCAAGGGAACACCUGACCAGGCACCAAGGCCCCUGCCCUUGGGGACAGCUGGGGAGAGGGUGGAGCGACCCCGGCGUCGAGUGUGGAUAAAGCUGUCAUCCAUCUACCCCAGUCCUGCUUCUGAGGGGCCCCCUCUCCUUCCCCACACUGGUCAGGCCAUGAGCAAGGAGGGGCACCCCACAGGGAAGAGGGGGCCUCUUGCCCGGCGGCUGGGCUGACCUCCAACCUCUGACCCCUGACGGGCUGGAGCACCCCACAUGAACAAGGCACCUGUGCAGCAGAGACCUGAAAAAGAAGCAAAAGAAACCCUCGGGGAGAAGCAGUGCCCCUCCCGUGCGGCUCCUGCCCCUGGCAGGCCUUCUUUCUCCAAAUAGACCAAACAUGCCCUCCUGUCCAUCAUCCUCCCCGUCAUGGCCCUGGCUGCACCUCCGGAUGGAUCCAGCCCAAGCCCCGUCACACAGCAGUGGCCCGGUCCCCCUUGGAAUGGCGAGCCUGACCCUCCACCGCCAACCUCCUCUGACCUUCCGAGGCCCCUCUGACGCUCACACUGGUGAGUCCUUGGCCUGACACUCGGAGGCCGAAGAGGCUGUCACCUUCCACACCCCCAUGCCAGGCCCUCUGCACAAGCCUGUCUCAUUCCUCUCCCUUCCUUGAAUAUUUCCUGCCUCUUUGUUUCUACUCAAAAUGCCCCUCACCUGCUCUCUGAACCCCCUGGUGAACUCCUACACAUUCUUCAAAACCCGACUUGAAGCCCCCCUCCUCUGUGAAAUCUCCCAUCAGGGAGCUGACAAGUGCUAUUACUGAGCACACUUUAUGUGUGUCCUCUCUCAAAGCCAAAAGGGCACCUUGUACUGCCAGACAGGCAGGAGCUCAGAGCUGGGAGGAGGGGCCAAGGUGUGGGGAGGAAUGGUGGGAUUCCGUCCGUGGGUCAGGGUGAGCGGAUGCAGAGGGAGGGGCUGCGCCUGCAUGUGGGAGGUGCCCUGCUUUGGGGCGCAGUCAGUAGAGACCAGACCACAGAGGGCCCAAGGGCCCUGCAUUCCGUUACACUUAGCAGGUCCUGUCCGUGGUCCCAAAGUGGCUGUGUCCUGGAGACCCUCACGGGCCCCAAUGCUGACCUGCUGCCCUCCCCCUGAAGGCCCUCCUUGGGUCCUGGGCUGAGGACAUUGGUGAGGAAGGGACGGGGACCGAUACCAGGAGGCUGGGGCAUGACCAUGGCCAAUACCCUCCUUAUCUGGCUGCCCCCUGGGGAGAGCUUGUGGUUCCUGUUCAGAUCCUGGCUGCCCUGGCCAGCUGUGUGACCUAGGGCAGGAGACGGGCCUCUCAGAGCCUGAGGUCAUCGAGUUUCUGGGAGUGUGGUGUUGCCUUGCAGGGUGGCGGGGCGGCUGGUCCCGUGUGUAGGCUGUGAUCCAGGAUCCAGGCUGGCGGGAGGCGGGCCACCAUCUGGAUGUGCGUUUCUUGGUUUCUGUAAAAUGAAGACGUGAGCCGG